rnacentral:rRNA from 1 species
GAUGAACGCUGGCGGCGUGCCUAACACAUGCAAGUCGAGCGAACGGACGAGAAGUUUGUGUUUUUGUCGUUAGCGGCGGACGGGUGUGUAACAUGUGUAUAACCCACUUAUAUUUCGGGGAUAAUCACGGGACACCGGAGCAAACACCGGAGAAUAUCCUGAACCGCAGGGUUCAAUGGAGAAUGACGGCGUUGCUGUCUCUUCUAGCGGCUUACCCGCUGGAUUGGCUAGUUGGUAGGGUCACGGCUUAUCAAGGCAACGAUGCAUAGCCGAGCUGAGAGGGUGGUCGGCCACACUAGAGCUGGGACACGGUCCAGACUCCUGCGGGAGGGAGCAGUAGGGUAUCUUCGGCAAUGGGCGGAAGCCUGGCGGAGCGACGCCGCGUGAGUGAUGAAAGUCUUCGGAUCGUGAAGCUCUGUUAUGAGGGAAGAACAGAUGUGUAAGUAACUGUAGACAGCUUGACGGUACCUGGUCAAGAAGCAACGGCUAACUACGUG